CAGCAGUAGCCACGGUAAAACGUAGGUGGCAAGCGUUGUCCGGAAUUAUUGGACGUAAAGGGCUCGCAGGCGGUUUCUUAAGUCUGAUGUGAAAGCCCCCGGCUCAACCGGGGAGGGUCAUUGGAAACUGGGAAACUUGAGUGCAGAAGAGGAGAGUGGAAUUCCACGUGUAGCGGUGAAAUGCGUAGAGAUGUGGAGGAACACCAGUGGCGAAGGCGACUCUCUGGUCUGUAACUGACGCUGAGGAGCGAAAGCGUGGGGAGCGAGCAAGAUUAGAUACCCCUGUAGUCCCUGUCUCUUAUAC
rnacentral:rRNA from 1 species